CGUGGCUCAGGACGAACGCUGGCGGCGUGCUUAACACAUGCAAGUCGAACGAUGAACCUCUUCGGAGGGGAUUAGUGGCGAACGGGUGAGUAACACGUGGGCAAUUUGCCCUGCACUUUGGGACAAGCCCUGGAAACGGGGUUUAAUACCGGAUACGACCAUCUCGGGCAUCCGAUGGUGGUGGAAAGCUCCGGCGGUGCAGGAUGAGCCCGCGGCCUAUCAGCUUGUUGGUGGGGUGAUGGCCUACCAAGGCGACGACGGGUAGCCGGCCUGAGAGGGCGACCGGCCACACUGGGACUGAGACACGGCCCAGACUCCUACGGGAGGCAGCAGUGGGGAAUAUUGCACAAUGGGCGGAAGCCUGAUGCAGCGACGCCGCGUGAGGGAUGACGGCCUUCGGGUUGUAAACCUCUUUCAGCAGGGAAGAAGCGCAAGUGACGGUACCCUGCAGAA
rnacentral:rRNA from 1 species